GACGAACGCUGGCGGCGUGCUUAACACAUGCAAGUCGAACGGAAAGGCCCUGCUUUUGUGGGGUGCUCGAGUGGCGAACGGGUGAGUAACACGUGAGUAACCUGCCCUUGACUUUGGGAUAACUUCAGGAAACUGGGGCUAAUACCGGAUAGGAGCUCCUGCUGCAUGGUGGGGGUUGGAAAGUUUCGGCGGUUGGGGAUGGACUCGCGGCUUAUCAGCUUGUUGGUGGGGUAGUGGCUUACCAAGGCUUUGACGGGUAGCCGGCCUGAGAGGGUGAACGGGCACAUGGGGCCUGAGAGACGGACCAGACUCCUACGGGAGGCAGCAGGGGGGAAUAUUGCACAAUGGGCGGAAGCCUGAUGCAGCAACGCCGCGUGCGGGAUGACGGCCUUCGGGUUGUAAACCGCUUUCGCCUGUGACGAAGCGUGAGUGACGGUAAUGGGUAAAGAAGCACCGGCUAACUACGUG
rnacentral:rRNA from 1 species